rnacentral:misc_RNA from 1 species
GAUGAAGAACGUAGCGAAAUGCGAUAAGUAGUGUGAAUUGCAGAAUUCAGUGAAUCAUCGAAUCUUUGAACGCACAUUGCGCCCUUUGGUAUUCCAAAGGGCAUGCCUGUUCGAGCGUCAUUUGUACCCUCAAGCUUUGCUUGGUGUUGGGCGUCUUGUCUCUAGCUUUGCUGGAGACUCGCCUUAAAGUAAUUGGCAGCCGGCCUACUGGUUUCGGAGCGCAGCACAAGUCGCACUCUCUAUCAGCAAAGGUCUAGCAUCCAUUAAGCCUUUUUUUCAACUUUUGACCUCGGAUCAGGUAGGGAUACCCGCUGAACUUAAGCAUAUCAAUAACGGAGGA